CCUACGGGUGGCAGCAGUGGGGAAUAUUGGGCAAUGGGCGCAAGCCUGACGCAGCAACGCCGCGUGAAGGAAGACGGCUUUCGGGUUGUAAACUUCUUUUGACAGGGAAGAGUAGAAGACGGUACCUGUCGAAUAAGCCACGGCUAACUACGUGCCAGCAGCCGCGGUAAUACGUAGGUGGCAAGCGUUGUCCGGAUUUACUGGGUGUAAAGGGCGUGUAGCCGGGUUGACAAGUCAGAUGUGAAAUCCUGCGGCUUAACCGCAGAACUGCAUUUGAAACUGUUGAUCUUGAGUACUGGAGAGGCAGACGGAAUUCCUAGUGUAGCGGUGAAAUGCGUAGAGAUCGGGAGGAACACCAGUGGCGAAGGCGGCCUACUGGGCUUUAACUGACGCUGAGGCACGAAAGCGUGGGUAGCAAACAGGAUUAGAUACCCUUGUAGUC
rnacentral:rRNA from 1 species